rnacentral:tRNA from 1 species
CAGGGUAGCUCAGCUGGUUAGAGCGCACGACUCAUAAUCGUGAGGUCGCGGGUUCAAGCCCCGCUCCUG